AUUCCUUAAACUUUAUUUUUCCUCCCUUUCUUAGAAGUGUUUCCUGAAACUGGAAAUUUCAUAUCCACCCAAGCUACGAGGUUCUCCCAAGCUGUGUAACUCCGGUAUGUAUACCUCCCCCAAACUCCCUACAACAAACUCGACUUUCAUUUGGUCGGCCAUAUAUGUUAUGCCUGCGCUGGCAUCAUCCUUUACCUUGUGUUUUAGUCCGCACUUUCUUAACUGGCCAUUGACUUAGGGAGAUGAUAAUAACAACCCGUAGGUAAUCUUACAACCCCUUCUAUAGUUCUAAGUCAUGCACUUUUAACAAUGUGCUACUUUCAUUGGAAACAACAAAUGAGUUCCAAAUAUUUCAUAUGCUUUCCCUGUUAUGUUCCCAUGCGCUUAGAUUACACCAAGUAAAUAACUCUAUUCAAACUGUGCAAGAACAUGCCCCGAAAAAGACUGCAUCCCCAAAAUGCAAAUGUCGACGGACAUCUCAAGCCCCCCAAAAAACGUAAAUCAACACGUGCUCGGUAAAUUGAUAAACGGUCUAGGCUGUUUGCUAUCACACAAAAUUUUAACCCAUCUGUUCAUGAUUUACGAACCAGAUAUCUUUCCUCAACCACAACAGUCGCUAACGAUGGUACAUACACCACAACUCCAACACAACAGGUUAUGACACCCAGGACAAGAAACACCCGCCAUCGUUCCCAGCCCGAGUCGGACACCUUUGUUAACAAUGUUUUGGAUCUCGGCCUACCAACCUUGGAAUGCAUGCAUUGUCAUGCUAUGUUUUGGGCUAAUGAGGCAAUUAGUUGUGCGCGACGACGUGCACACCCGAAGUAUCCACUAUGUUGUCAACUAGGGAAAUUUGAUCUCAUUUUGUUGCGGCGUACGCCCGGUUUGCUUGAUCGUUUGCUAGAUGUGAAUGGUGAUGCACUUUCUAGACAUUUCCGAGACAAAAUUCGCAUCUACAACGCUUCUUUUUCUUGGACAUCAUUCGAAGCCAAGUUAAAUCCAUGCCUUCUAAAUUCACGUGGACCAUACUCAUUAGUCUUAUGUGGCGAAAACUACCAUUAUAUGGGUUCGUUACUACCCCCCAAAGGUCAACGACCCCGAUAUAAUCAGCUAUACGUGCAUGACCCCACAUCAGAAGUGUCAGAUAGGUUCUCAAAUGUUGCUAGUGGACCAAGUACCUUGAAUUUAGAACUUAUUCAGCAACUCCAGAACAUGCUAGAUGAAUACAAUGUCUUGACGCAAGGCUUUCGAUGGGUUCACGAUGCAUUGCAAAUUCCGGCCAAUCAAAAUCUGCGGUUACGCAUCACUGGGACACGAGUGCAACAAGACCGUAUGUAUGAAUUACCGACUGGUUCCGAAUUAGCUGGCCUUAUACCAGGUGAUUUCACACCAGACCAUGAUGAUCGGGAUAUCAUCGUUAACAAUAGAUCAACUGGAUUAUGCCGAAUCACAAGUUUGAACCCGCUUUUUGAUUCCUUACAUUUUCCACUAUUGUUUCCAUAUGGUAAUGAUGGGUAUCAUAACCGUAUUUCCUACAACCCACUACACCUCGAUCUUGGACAGAAACGUAAAUACAUAACCCAACGUGAAUAUUAUUGUUUUCGCUUUAAUAUAGGCGCAACGAAGGUACUACUCUUAUACGAGGCGGGAAAGCGCUCCAGCAUUUCUGUAUUAAUACUUUCACAACCAUUGAACAAAAUCGGUUGACAUAUUUGCGCUUGAACAAAAAAAAAUUGCGCUCGGACAUAUAUAAGGGAUUAUAUGAUGCUCUCAAUCGUGGUGACCUCGACGCACGCAAUAUUGGCCGCAUCAUCAACCCUUCCAGCUUUACAGGUUCGUAGCACUAACCAAAACUGUUGUAUUAUUUACACAAUCUCAGGACACGUUUUAAAAAGCAUGUGCACCCCCGCUUACCAAUCAAUAUCCACCAAAUAUAUGUUUCCAUUUACAUUCAUCCAUGUUCUUUCACAGGUAGCAUCCGCUAUAUGCAACAACUUUAUCACGAUGCGAUGGCCGUUACUCAUUAUUAUGGCAAUCCCGAUCUUUUCAUUACAUUCACAUGUAAUGUGCAAUGGCCUGAGAUUGUUAAUGCGUUCAAGGAUGAAGUUGGGACCAAUAGUGAGAAUAAACCAAUGGUAGUAGCUCGCGUCUUCCGUAUGCGUUUGGCGCUCCUGAAAGUCGAUCUAAAUAGGGCUCAGUUCUUCGGGAAAAAUGUGGCAAGUAAGCACCAUUAGGAAUGUACUUUAUUCAACACCCACGUACAUUUAUCAUUUUGUUCCCCACAUUUCCUAACUUUGGUUUCUCAACCUACCUUCCAUGCAUAUAGGUAUGCAUACAGUUGAAUUCCAAAAACGUGGCUUGCCACAUGUUCACAUUAUCCUCUGGCUGCAAGAUAUUUAUAAACCUACGACUACUACAAUGGUUGACAGAAUAAUCUCAACGGAGCUUCCAAAUCCAGAAAUAGAUCCAAUGGGAUAUGAAGCUGUGACCAAAUUUAUGCUCCAUGGCCCUUGCGGUGAUGCGAACCCUUCCUGCCCAUGUAUGAAAAACAAUAGGUGUUCAAAAUUGUUCCCCAAACCAUACAUCUCCGAGACAACAUUUGACGAACAUGGUCAUGUUACAUAUCGCCGGCGUCAAUCAAAUAUUAGUGCAAUCAAGUCUGGACAGACAUUAGACAAUGCAUUUGUGGUUUCGUACAAUCGCGAUCUUCUUGUCAAAUAUCAGACACAUAUGAACAUUGAGAUCUGCCACAAAGGCCAACUAAUCAAGUAUUUGUUUAAGUAUAUAACAAAAGGUCCGGACAGGUCAGAAGUCGCUGCUGAACGACAGCCUAACACUACUAGAAAGAACAAUCCGGACCCAAACGCACCCAUUGACGAAAUAUCUCAGUACUUAGAUUGCAGAUCCAUUUCUUCACAUGAGGCAAUUUGGAGAUUAUAUGCAUUCAAGAUCCACGAAAGAACACCAGCUGUUUUCCGCCUAUGCGUCCACCUUCCCAACCAGCAACAAGUUUCGUAUCCUGAACACCAAACACUUGCAUCAAUUAUCAACCGCCCAUGUAUUGACAAAACAAUGUUGACUGAAUGGUUCACCCUCAACCGGUUGUGGCCGCCAGCUAGAAAAUAUUUAUAUUCUGAAAUUACACAUGCUUUUGUUUGGGAUAAGCAAUGUGCACAAUGGACGCCUAGGAAGAGGGGGUUUGUACUCGGUCGCGUGGCUUCAGUCCCUCCUCGGACCGAUGUGUUUUAUCUCAGGUUGUUGUUAAGCAAAAUUCAUGGAGCAACAAGCUUCACAGACAUGCGCACGGUCAAUGGAGUCGUAUGCACGGACUAUCGGGAAGCAUGCAAAGCCCUAGGCCUUCUAUCAAAUGAUGAUGAGUGGAAUGAUGUCAUGGUCGAGGUUUCACGUUGGGGCAUGGCACCGCUCAUCCGAAGCACAUUCGUAUCUCUUCUGAUUUUCUGCCAUGUUGCUUCCCCGAGCACAUUAUUUGAUCAAUGGUGGCCAUCAAUGUCUGAUGACUUCACAUACCACCAGCAACAUCUUAGAGAUGAUCCAACUCCAGACCCGUUUCCUGGUAAUUUGCGCAACCAAGUCCUACUCGCAUUACAAGUUCUCCUUCAGAACUACUCAAUGACACUUUCGCAGUUCAACCUACCACACCCUGUUGUUGCUCCCAUGGAUGACACUUGUAAUGAUUUGGUAGCACAACAAUUGCAGUACGACUGCAACCGCGAACAAACUAUGUACAACCACUACCACUCAUCCCUAAACGAAUACCAGAAAAUAGCUCACGAUACUGUUGUAGCUUCAUUGUCGAACAACCAGGGGAAAUUGUUUUUCUUAUAUGGCCAUGGAGGCACUGGGAAAACAUAUAUGUACAAUUGCAUCCUCGCAAAGGUCCGAAGCGAGGGAAAAAUAGCUUUGGUUGUCGCACCCUCGGGUAUAGCAUCCACUUUAUUGACAGGAGGAGUCACGGCACAUUCACGCUUCAAGAUACCCAUCGAUGUUGACCAUACGUCGACCUGCGCGAUUACGAAAGGAACCUCCCUCGCACUACUUAUCCAGAAAACAUCUUUGAUCGUCUGGGAUGAAGCGCCUAUGGUCCAUCGGUUGAGUUUCGAGGCUCUCGACCGAACCCUUUGUGACAUCAUGGAUGUUGCUUCACAAGGACCAUGUUAUAGACCUUUCGGUGGUAAAACUGUUUUACUCGGUGGCGACUUUCGCCAAACAUUACCAGUUGUCAAAAUUGGUGGGCGUGAGGCUAAUAUCAACGCAUCUUUAACCCAUUCGUACUUAUGGUCUCAUUGUGUGCUACUGGAACUGCAUUCAAACAUGUGUAUCCACCAAUCAAACACUAAUAUGGCAGCAGACUUUGCCGGCCUAACAUUUUCAGAAUGGAUCCUAGCUGUAGGAGAUGGUAAAAUACACACCCUUACACCUCCAACCCAUGCAACCUCUGAUUGGAUAUCUAUCUCACAACGCUUCAUCAUACCAUUGUCAGGAAACCCAAUCCGCUCAAUUGUUGAACAUGUCUACCCAAGACUCCAAUCUUCAUAUCAGAACAUGACCUACAUCCGGAUUAGAGCAAUUGUCACCCCCACCAACACCAAUGUCGGGUUAAUCAAUGAUUAUAUCCUUGAACAACUACCAGGCCAGCCAAAAGUAUACCUCAGUGCAGACUCACUUACAACACCCGGCCCUAAUCAACAGACCCUAGAGAUUCAAUAUCCAACUGAAUUUCUAAACGGAUUAUCAUUUAAUGGAAUGCCAGAACAUCAAAUCAAGUUUAAACCCUAUUGUAUCGUCAUGCUGUUGCGAAACUUAAAUCCGUAGGCAAGAUUAUGUAAUGGUACGCGCAUCUUGCUAACACAUUUGGCCACUCAUGUUGUUCGUGGCCUCAUUGUUGGCGGAACAUUUGAAGGUACUAUUGCUAUUAUCCCACGCAUAAUCCUUGACUAUACGGAUCCUAACUGGCCAUUCACACUUCGGAGAAGACAAUUUCCCCUAAAGCUAUGCUAUGCUAUGACGAUAAACAAAAGUCAAGGACAAACCCUCGACCAAGUUGGCCUAUAUCUGUCUUCUCCAGUUUUCAGCCACGGUCAACUAUAUGUGGCGAUAUCAAGGGUCAGAUCAGCAACUGGGAUCCACAUAGUUAUCCAAAAUGAUGAAACCACAAGACCAGACAUCACCCGCAAUAUUGUGUACAAAGAAAUAUAUGAAGACCUGCAUUCAAGUCCAUCUACCUAUGUCGAAUCUUCGAUAUAAAUAUAUAUAUAUAAUUGUAAUUCUACAUAAUUGUAACCCGUAUUCGACAAAAGCAAUUGCAACCCUAUAUAUAAGUGGUCCAUGGUGACAUUAUUUUAUUAAAUAGCUCUAUCACAUUACAGAUCAGUAACCAAACCGGUUCUACAUGUCAAUUAUAUACUAAGCGGCAUCGCGCGUGCUCGAAAUCUAGUUGUUUAAUUAAGGCUUAAAUCUCCCAAGUGUCACCAUCUUUUAGGAAAUUCAAUAGGUGAUGAUUUACAGAAAAUGGCAAUAGGUGGUGUAUAAGUUUGGAAUUUCUUGAAAAGUGGUUAUGGAGAUGUAAGCCAUUAAUUAAUAAUCUAUUUUUCUUUUCUUUUAUCAAAAAAACUAAUAGAAAGAGCAGCUGCAGCUGGGGGAAGUUUGAAUGAAUGGCUCUCUGGAAUGGAUCAACUUGCUGAGGAGGCUCUAACAGCAGGUGAAGUUCAUGAUACUGGCUGAAUGAUUUUGGAAUGUUCAUUUGUCUUUAAUGUAGUAGCUGCCGUGAUUGCUUUACAUACAACACAGUUCUUUAGACUUUUAGCUAGGUUGGAUCAAGGUACUAGUUAUGUGUAAAAGCACAGUAGUGGAGCUGUUAGCAGAGAGCACCACAGUGAUGAUUGUAAGGAUAUUUGAUCAGAAGCUUUUCACUGAGAGUUAAUAAAUCUCAAGCCAUAUUUAUGUAGCUUUUACCAUGCAAAAACUUAGGAACUACUGGCAUUUCAACUUGAACUCGCUCUUUUGGUUCUUGAUGGAGCGUUCUCAUCUUCUGAUUGAGAAAUUAAAAUCUGGGU
rnacentral:lncRNA from 1 species